CGACUGUGCCCACACUGGGCCAGAGGCGGGAAAUACGAGGUGAAGUGAAACUGACAGUUUAGAUCACUUCCUCUCAGGGCGUGUAACACAGCAUGGUGGGGAAUUCCUGCUAGUGGCGUGAACAGAGCUGAGAGAGUAGCAAGCCGGGGAACGCCUGUCCUCUGGGCUUAGGGAAGGUUUCACAGCCGGGUUGCGUUGGAGUGAGUCUGCAAAGGAUGAAUAAAUCAAGGCACAGAGAAGUUACAGGACUUGGCCAAGGAGAGAUACAGGUGGUGGAACAGAGAUUCAAACUCAGGCCCCCAGUACAUAGUUGUAUGUUCUUUGUUGUGGGUCCUUCUAGUUGUGGCAUGUGGGACGCUGCCUCAGCGUGGUUUGAUGAGCAGUGCCGUGUCCGCGCUCAGGAUUCAAACCAAUGAAACACUGGGCCGCCUGCAGCGGAGCACGCGAACUUAACCACUCGGUCACGGGACCAGCCCCUACAGCAACCCACACAUCCAUGAAACUCAGCAAACUGCAAGCAGGAGUCCUCAGAUAGCUGGUCCAGGUUUUGGAGCUGCAUUCAGUGAGACAGACAGGUUGGAUAGAGUGUGCUCAACCAUUGUUGGAGGAGGUCAUCGAGAGGGGGUGACCAUCCAUGGACACAUGACCUGGACUUGGGUAAUCAGAGGCUCCUUACACUCUUCCCUGUCCUUGGAUUGUACAUUUUGCCCACUAUUCCCAUGCUAGGAGCCACUUCAAGGGUGCAGCCUUGAAACAGUAAUCUGUUAUUGAGACCAUCUGAACAGUAUAUGUGACUGAACACCAUUAAGGCCUCUAUAUAAACCCUUAGGAUUCUGGUGGUUGGGUGUGGAGACUUCCUUGUUUUUGUAUCUGUGCAAGACAAGCCUCACGUGUAAAUGCUCUUGCUUAUUAAAACUGCUACCUACCAAUCUGGAGUGGUCUGCCUCUUUCUCUGCUCUCUCCUUGCCCUCUGUGUUUGGGGGCCAGUGUUGAAUUUUACCUUGGGAACUCCCAAGGUUUUUUGAACCAAUGUCCAUCUUACCCAGAAUCAAAAACCAUGACUUAAGUUUUGAGCAUGUUAAGCCUGAGCUACUUGUUGUACGUCUAGGUGGCAAUAUGUGUCUGGAAUCUAGAAGCAAGAUUUGGGCUAAAAAUAAACAUUUAAGUCUUCAAUGUAUAGGAGCUUCCAGUCACAGGCCUGGAGGAGAGCAAACAGGAAGAGCGCGUACAAUCAGCAAAAUGGACAGAGAAGAGAAGCCUGGGGACCAUCAACAUGGAAGAAGUGAGGACAGGAAGAGGGGCCAGAACAUAGGGGUCAGACAGGCUGAAGGAAAACCAGGAUGCUGGGGUCAAGUCUCCACCAGCUCUCUCCUGGACUGCGUGCGUACCGGUGCAUAUCAGAGUGUUUCCAGUGUUCCCAGUUCUUUGUGUAUCAGCCCCUGCGUCAGAAUCACCUGGGGGGAGCGGUGAUAAAUGCGUGCUUUCUCAGGCCAUACUCCAAACUGAUUCGAUUAGAAUCAUAAGUGGCAGGGCCUGCCUGCCUGCGUUUUUAACUAGCUUUCCAGGGAUUUCUUAUGAACAGUUAAGAGAACCACUGCCCUAGGCCUAAAGAGUGUGGAAACACCCCUGAGCCUGUCACUCGCAUAAAGAGAAGGUGGUGAACAAGUGGAAAGGAAAGAGAAAAGGAGGAGAAGGAAGAGCUAAAAAGGGAAAAAAAGAGAUUCCCAAAGUUUGGUGAGUGAUAUGGAAGGAGGAGAAGGAGGAAAGAGACCAUUUAUCUUCAUUAUUCCAGACCUGAGGCAGACACUCUUGGAGCAGCUGCAUUGAGUUCAUCUUGAGAGCUUUGUGUUUGAAGCCCAUUAAGAGCCCAACACAAGCCUACGAGGCCCCAGGAUGACUGACGGGACAGUAAGCCUUGGGUGGAGUGCAGCCAAGCAGUGUAAGGGAUAUGGUGAUGAACAUGAUGGGUGAUGAGCAAUUCGGCUGACACUGUCCUUCUUUAAACAGCAUCCACUGGUAAGGGAGUCCUGUAACUUUUACAUGACUCAACCAACCUAGGUUAACUGGUGCAUUUUAUGCCAAAUCCAGUAGUCAUGUUUUAUGCUGUGCUGCUCUAGCCAAACAACAUCUGUUUGGAUAAGGGGAUGAAUCUUGCUGAGAUGCAAACUCACACACACCCCUUUCUCCCCCAGCCUCCCUACUAAACAGUAAAUUUAAGAAAUCUCUUAAAAAUGUCCAAAAGCUAAUGUCAAUAGAAACCACACUAGAUGAAAGGAAAUUCGUCACCCAAAGUGCUUGGAGAAGAAGCACUUGACCUCUUUUCCAUCUCCUAAGGAUCAGCGCAAUGCCAAGUUUUCUUGGCCUUCACUUAUUUUCUUCCCAACCUUGAUUCUUCCCUGUGAGUGACUCAAACAGUGACUGGGUCUCUUUGUAUUCCAAGCUCCCAGCACAGGGCCUGGCACACACUAGGAGUUCAACGUUUGUUAAACUUAGUGCGCUUAACUUCGAGUCUAGCAUCAAUUUGAUGUGCAUUCUUGCUAAUGUCUUCUACAUUUCUUUUUCCUUCAUUCCAAAUUUCUCCUAUUCUUCUUUUUAUUCCUUUCUUCUCAUUCCCCUUUUUUGUCUGUUUUCCUCUCUCCUCCAGUGCCCAGUUAUUGCCAGAAGAGGAUAAAGUUGGGAACCAGAGUGUGAAGAAAGUGAAUUCCUCCAUCUCUCUUCUUUCAUUUUUGGUCCCCUCUCUGCAUCCUCUGGGAUUCUCCUCCUUCAUCCCAAGCCCUCUAUGUUGAAACACUAACAUGGAGAAUGCAGUGUCAUUCAAGUAAUAGAAAUAAAAGCUAUUUCUCAU
ensembl:lncRNA